rnacentral:rRNA from 1 species
UGAUGAGCAACGCCGCGUGAGUGAAGAAGGCCUUCGGGUUGUAAAACUCUGUUGUCAGAGAAAAAAAGUUGUGAGUAACUGGUCCAACCUUGACGGUAACUGAACAGAAAGCCACGGCUAACUACGUGCCAGGGGCCGCGGUAAUACGUGAUUUGGUGAGCGUUGUCCGGAUUUAUUGGGCGUAAAGCGACUGCAGGCGGUUCCUUAAGUCUGAUGUGGAAGCCCGCGGCUCAACCGUGGAAGGUCAUUGGAAACUGGGGAACUUGAGUG